GCUUUCGCAAUACCUACAGAUUCCUGGAUAAGUCGAACUAGCAUAUCAGAAAACACAAAAACAUGCGCAUACUGCAGCUGAAACUAAUCAAGAAACUCCACUUCUGCUUCUCAGGAAGUCAAAUUACUCCAUGUCUCAGCCAUAUCCAUCCAUUUACAGAUUCUCAUGAUUAGGUUCAGCUGCAACUCACGUAAGUCCAGGAAAAAGUUAAUGACAAUGAUGU